CAGCAGCCGCGGGAAUACAGAGGGUGCAAGCGUUAAUCGGAAUUACUGGGCGUAAAGCGCGCGUAGGUGGUUUGUUGAGUUGGAUGUGAAAUCCCCGGGCUCAACCUGGGAACUGCAUUCAAAACUGACUGACUAGAGUAUGGUAGAGGGUGGUGGAAUUUCCUGUGUAGCGGUGAAAUGCGUAGGUAUAGGAAGGAACACCAGUGGCGAAGGCGACCACCUGGACUAAUACUGACACUGAGGUGCGAAAGCGUGGGGAGCAAACAGGAUUAGAUACCCCAGUAGUCCCUGUCUCUUAUAC
rnacentral:rRNA from 1 species